CAGUCGCCGCGGUAAUACGUAGGUGGCAAGCGUUGUCCGGAAUUAUUGGGCGUAAAGGGCUCGCAGGCGGUUUCUUAAGUCUGAUGUGAAAGCCCCCGGCUCAACCGGGGAGGGUCAUUGGAAACUGGGAAACUUGAGUGCAGAAGAGGAGAGUGGAAUUCCACGUGUAGCGGUGAAAUGCGCAGAGAUGUGGAGGAACACCAGUGGCGAAGGCGACUCUCUGGUCUGUAACUAACGCUGAGGAGCGAAAGCGUGGGGAGCGAACAGGAUUAGAUACCCCAGUAGUCCCUGUCUCUUAUAA
rnacentral:rRNA from 1 species